rnacentral:rRNA from 1 species
AGUGAACGCUGGCGGCGUGCUUAACACAUGCAAGUCGAACGAGAACGGUCUAGCUUGCUAGAUGUCAGCUAAGUGGCGAACGGGUGAGUAAUACAUUGGAAUAUGCCCUAUAGUGGGGGACAACAUGUGGAAACGCAUGCUAAUACCGCAUACGCCCUACGGGGGAAAGCGGGGGAUCUUCGGACCCCGUGCUAUUAGAUGAGCCUGCGUAAGAUUAGCUAGUUGGUGAGGUAAAGGCUCACCAAGGCGACGAUCUUUAGCUGGUCUGAGAGGAUGAUCAGCCACACUGGGACUGAGACACGGCCCAG